UACGUAGGGUGCGAGCGUUAAUCGGAAUUACUGGGCGUAAAGGGUGCGUAGGUGGUUCUUUAAGUCUGCUGUGAAAGCCCCGGGCUCAACCUGGGAAUGGCAGUGGAUACUGGAGAGCUAGAGUGCGGUAGAGGGUAGUGGAAUUCCCGGUGUAGCAGUGAAAUGCGUAGAGAUCGGGAGGAACACCAGUGGCGAAGGCGGCUACCUGGACCAGCACUGACACUGAAGCACGAAAGCGUGGGGAGCAAACAGG
rnacentral:rRNA from 1 species